rnacentral:rRNA from 1 species
GACGAACGCUGGCGGCGUGCCUAAUACAUGCAAGUCGAACGAGAGCGACCGGUGCUUGCACUGGUCAAUCUAGUGGCGAACGGGUGAGUAACACGUGGGUAACCUGCCCAUCAGAGGGGGAUAACAUUCGGAAACGGAUGCUAAAACCGCAUAGGUCUUCGAACCGCAUGGUUUGAAGAGGAAAAGAGGCGCAAGCUUCUGCUGAUGGAUGGACCCGCGGUGCAUUAGCUAGUUGGUGAGGUAACGGCUCACCAAGGCCGUGAUGCAUAGCCGACCUGAGAGGGUGAUCGGCCACAUUGGGACUGAGACACGGCCCAAACUCCUACGGGGGGCAGCAGUAGGGAAUCUUCCGCAAUGGACGCAAGUCUGACGGAGCAACGCCGCGUGAGUGAAGAAGGUUUUCGGAUCGUAAAACUCUGUUGUUAGAGAAGAACAAGUGCUAGAGUAACUGUUAGCGCCUUGACGGUAUCUAACCAGAAAGCCACGGCUAACUACGUG